rnacentral:rRNA from 1 species
UACGUAGGGACCAAGCGUUGUUCGGAUUUACUGGGCGUAAAGGGCGCGUAGGCGGCAAUUCAAGUCACUUGUGAAAUCUCUGAGCUUAACUCAGAACGGUCAACUGAUACUGCGGGGCUAGAGUGCAGAAGGGGCAACUGGAAUUCUCGGUGUAGCGGUGAAAUGCGUAGAUAUCGAGAGGAACACCUGCGGCGAAGGCGGGUUGCUGGGCUGACACUGACGCUGAACUGCGAAAGCUAGGGGAGCGAAACGG